GUGAGGAAUAUUGGUCAAUGGGCGAGAGCCUGAACCAGCCAAGUCGCGUGAAGGAUGAAGGUUUUAUGAAUCGUAAACUUCUUUUUCAGGGGAAUAAAGUACGGUACGUGUACCGUUUUGUAUGUACUCUGCGAAUAAGGAUCGGCUAACUACGUGCCAGCAGCCGCGGUAAUACGGAGGAUCCAAGCGUUAUCCGGAUUUAUUGGGUUUAAAGGGUGCGUAGGUGGAUUGAUAAGUCAGAGGUGAAAGUUUGCAGCUUAACUGUAAAAUUGCCGUUGAAACUGUCGGUCUUGAGUGCAAAUGAGGUAGGCGGAAUGUGUUGUGUAGCGGUGAAAUGCUUAGAUAUAACACAGAACUCCGAUUGCGAAGGCAGCUUACUGGGAUGCAACUGACACUGAUGCACGAAAGCGUGGGUAUCAAACAGGAUUAGAAACCCUGGUAGUCC
rnacentral:rRNA from 1 species